GAUGAACGCUGGCGGCGUGCCUAAUACAUGCAAGUCGAGCGAACGGACGAGGAGCUUGCUCCUUUGACGUUAGCGGCGGACGGGUGAGUAACACGUGGAUAACCUACCUAUAAGACUGGGAUAACUUCGGGAAACCGGAGCUAAUACCGGAUAAUAUAUUGAACCGCAUGGUUCAAUAGUGAAAGACGGUUUUGCUGUCACUUAUAGAUGGAUCCGCGCCGCAUUAGCUAGUUGGUAAGGUAACGGCUUACCAAGGCAACGAUGCGUAGCCGACCUGAGAGGGUGAUCGGCCACACUGGAACUGAGACACGGUCCAGACUCCUACGGGAGGCAGCAGUAGGGAAUCUUCCGCAAUGGGCGAAAGCCUGACGGAGCAACGCCGCGUGAGUGAUGAAGGUCUUCGGAUCGUAAAACUCUGUUAUUAGGGAAGAACAAAUGUGUAAGUAACUAUGCACGUCUUGACGGUACCUAAUCAGAAAGCCACGGCUAACUACG
rnacentral:rRNA from 1 species